rnacentral:lncRNA from 1 species
CGCCGCCCCGGAUUCGAGGGCCGCCGGGGACCUUCUCCAUCGGCGUUGCCGCCGCUGGGAGGCGGCUCUCAAAAGUUCAGAGUUGGCAGACCGCAGCUCUGGGCCAUCCGGCAAGCCGAAGGUGCCGCUCGAGUUUGCCGCUCGAGUUCAAGGACUUCGAGCCGCCACCUGAGGCCACCACAACAAAAACUGCCGGACCAUUCUCUAUUAAAGUUUCUUCUUCAUCCUUCGUAGGAUUGCUGUUGCAUAUAUUGCCCGACACCAAACCGAAGAAGUUGUCGAUCACUUUGGACUUUUCUCAAACAGGGUGUUGUCCGGUGAUUGAAUUUCUCUUCACACAAGGACAGAUUGUGAAGGAGAUUUUGUAAACUAUCAGCAGCAGUAGAGAACAAGGCACAAAGAAUAAAGGAAAUUGAUGGACCCAA